rnacentral:rRNA from 1 species
UACGAAGGGGGCUAGCGUUGCUCGGAAUCACUGGGCGUAAAGGGUGCGUAGGCGGGUUUUAAGUCAGAGGUGAAAUCCUGGAGCUCAACUCCAGAACUGCCUUUGAUACUGAAAGUCUUGAGUAUGGGAGAGGUGAGUGGAACUGCGAGUGUAGAGGUGAAAUUCGUAGAUAUUCGCAAGAACACCAGUGGCGAAGGCGGCUCACUGGCCCAUAACUGACGCUGGAGGCACGAAAGCGUGGGGAGCAAACAGG